rnacentral:rRNA from 1 species
ACUCCUACGGGAGGCAGCAGUAGGGAAUCUUCCACAAUGGGCGCAAGCCUGAUGGAGCAACACCGCGUGAGUGAAGAAGGGUUUCGGCUCGUAAAGCUCUGUUGUUAAAGAAGAACACGUAUGAGAGUAACUGUUCAUACGUCGACGGUAUUUAACCAGAAAGUCACGGCUAACUACGUGCCAGCAGCCGCGGUAAUACGUAGGUGGCAAGCGUUAUCCGGAUUUAUUGGGCGUAAAGAGAGUGCAGGCGGUUUUCUAAGUCUGAUGUGAAAGCCUUCGGCUUAACCGGAGAAGUGCAUCGGAAACUGGAUAACUUGAGUGCAGAAGAGGGUAGUGGAGCUCCAUGUGUAGCGGUGGAAUGCGUAGAUAUAUGGAAGAACACCAGUGGCGAAGGCGGCUACCUGGUCUGCAACUGACGCUGAGACUCGAAAGCAUGGGUAGCGAACAGGAUUAGAUACCCUGGUAGGAUAGCG